rnacentral:rRNA from 1 species
AACGAACGCUGGCGGCAGGCUUAACACAUGCAAGUCGAGCGCCCCGCAGGGGGAGCGGCAGACGGGUGAGUAACGCGUGGGAAUCUACCCAUCCCUACGGAACAGCUCCGGGAAACUGGAGCUAAUACCGUAUACGCCCUUCGGGGGAAAGAUUUAUCGGGGAUGGAUGAGCCCGCGUUGGAUUAGCUAGUUGGUGGGGUAAUGGCCUACCAAGGCGACGAUCCAUAGCUGGUCUGAGAGGAUGAUCAGCCACACGGGGACUGAGACACGGCCCAGACUCCUACGCGAGGCAGCAGUGGGGAAUAUUGGACAAUGGGCGCAAGCCUGAUCCAGCCAUGCCGCGUGAGUGAUGACGGCCCUAGGGUUGUAAAGCUCUUUCGCAGGUGAAGAUAAUGACGGUAACCUGAGAAGAAGCCCCGGCUAACUUCGUGCCAGCAGCCGCCGUAA